rnacentral:lncRNA from 1 species
GAUGAGCUCUGCCGCCCGCGCGCCCUUACAGAGGACGUGGAGCGGUCUGAUCAAACGGCGCACGUGACGUCCUGCAGCUCACCUGAGGGAUCAAUGCUCAAUAUGGAACAAGUACAGGCCGGACACGCAUGCGCGAGGUCCGGGACACGUCAUUGCGUCAACAACGAGUCACGUGCUCACAUCUUUUUUCUUUCAAUAAACUUUAUUGCACAUGUUUUGUUCACAUUGAACAACGUCAUAACACAGGACACACUUUGAAUUGCGCAUCAAGUUGAUUUCAGUGGGAGAGUUGCGCAGAAUCGUCAGCCUCACUCUCUCGACCCUGUCCACCUGAACCCGGUGGAACGACAAAGUCGAGACCGGAGGCGGGCCCGGGAUGCAGUGGGUGACCAGCUGUCAUACCUUGCCCAAUUCUGCUCGGAUCGCCUUUCAGCCCGUUGAACCAGACGAGUGAUUUCAUCCGCGCAUUCCGCCGAGGCCAGUGUCCACAUGCUGGAGCAGACGGAUCAGUUCAUCAUGUUUUGUUGACCUCUUAUAUGGGCCCAGUUUUGAAAAAAAUCAAACUUUUAAAUUAAUAAAAUCACAAAACCUCUUUCAAACACUUUUGAGGACAAUACAGAGAAAGAAGGAUAACUGUUGCAGGGAAAUUACAGCAAAAACUACAAAGAUUUUAAAAGUUUAAUUUAAAUCUAUUUUGAAUGAAAAAUUUAAUGGACAAUCCAAAGAGAAUUUUCUUUUUUCAUGCAUUUAUUUUUGUGAUUAAGAAUCUAUUGGGACUUUGCCAAACCUCCUUCAUUGCAAUCUUUCACAAACUCAAGCGCUCUUUAUCCAUUUUUGUUGUUUUUCCUGGGUACAAACCCCUCAGAGGGAUUAAAGAAGACUCCACAAGAUUACAGGAAAAGAGGAGCAGUGAGCAUGUUUUGCUCUGAGGAGAGGUCAUGGGCUGCUGCGGCUGCUUUUGCUGAUAAUAACUCAUCUGUCCUAAUGGAGAAAGGUGCUGUAUCCUGGUGCGCUGAAGGGUAAACUGCCAAACAAAACAGCAGAAGAAAACAAUUGUAGUCCACUGUGGUCAUUUGCAAAACACUAAUUUAUUUCAUAGUUUUUUUCUUGUCUCACAGUAAACUUUUUCAUUACUACAAACAUUUGAAGAGGUUGUAGUUUUGAAUAUCAGAAGAACAAAACGCUGUAGUAGAAGUAACGUCUGGUCUUAAUGGUUUGUUUGGAGGUGAAUGGUUUCCUCCUUGCACACCUCCAUGAAGCAGUCUCUUUCUGGUAGAGAAGUCAUACUUUCACUCCAACAGCAGCACCAGCCUGCUGCAGGUUCUGUGAUGACAUUUUAGGAUAUCAUGUGCUCUACUCUGGGGUUGAAUUUGCUUGGAUGGCCAGACCGGGCAUCAUAGCAACUGUUGUGAAAGUCAGUUUUCCAGAUAUAGAACACCUGAUGUCAACUGUUUGAGACAGUUUUGAAAGCCCUCACCAGACUCGUCAGCAGCCACAACCUUCUUCUGAUCGUCUCAGGCAGCAAAAAGGCCUUUGGUCAGGACAGGUUAAAAAACAGAAAAGCAAUCAUUACUCUCAGGUGUACAUGUUAGUCAGAAGGGGUUGGGCCUGUCUUUACACACGCACUCAAAUACUACAAAAAUACUUAAAAAAAUCUGUACAUACUCAUGUCAACAUGUAGAUAAUACAAAUAUAGUUAGACAUACAAACACACACAUUCAAGCAUUUCAAUCCAUCACGCACAAUGAAGUGUUUGUUUUCUACUGUGGUGG